UACGUAGGGGGCUAGCGUUGUCCGGAAUCAUUGGGCGUAAAGCGCGUGUAGGCGGCCCGGUAAGUCCGCUGUGAAAGUCGGGGGCUCAACCCUCGAAAGCCGGUGGAUACUGUCGGGCUAGAGUACGGAAGAGGCGAGUGGAAUUCCUGGUGUAGCGGUGAAAUGCGCAGAUAUCAGGAGGAACACCAAUUGCGAAGGCAGCUCGCUGGGACGUUACUGACGCUGAGACGCGAAAGCGUGGGGAGCGAUCCGG
rnacentral:rRNA from 1 species